GGAUGUGAGGGCAGUCUGGCUGUGACAUCUGUCACCCCAUUGGUCGUCUGGGUUGACUCAGCUGAUCUGGCUGGCUAGGUGGGUGUCCCCUUCCUCUCUCAGCGCUCCAUGUGAGUCCCCCAAGAAGCUGCACGCUCAACCAAAUAAGUCGACCACCCCCAAUGGAGGAGGACCAUUCCUCAGUCAAGGAUAGCCAAAUAGCUGCACUCCACUGCUAGAACCUCCAGACAAGCUCUCUAAAGGUAGGAAAAGAAACAGGUUCUGCAGAAUGAAUCUGAGCCAAGUAAAAGUAAGAAGAGACGUACAUACUAC
rnacentral:snRNA from 1 species